GUAUAAAUAAGGUUAGUUUAUUUUAGUUUAGGUCCGAAACACGCAUAGCUGCAGAUCGUUCUACACAACAGUUAAAGAUAAUCAUCCAACAGUUUAUUCAAUUGAUUAUAUCGGUACUUCAAAAUCAAAUUGUACAUCACAUUAAAAGCUGUUUCUGUGCUGUGCAUGUUGAGGCAUAAUUACAAUUCCUCUACUUAGUUUUGUUAAAUAAUUAAUUGCAUAUUGAAUUACAGCCGUCGGGACGUAUAUCUCGGCUUGUAGAUGUAAUCCCAAAAUUAGUUUUUUUAGUAAAUAUCCCUUCGCAACAAAUUUCAAGUACUUUUAAGUUAAUAAUUCGUCCAAUCCACAUGCAUCAAAUGCCUGUUUGUUUCAAGAUGGCGGACAAUUUCACCGGCAAUGCCAUGUUGUUUCCAAACUUUCUGAAGUCGUUGAUAGCGUUCGUCACACAAGUACAGUGGGUUACCGCGCCUGAAAAUAAAAUACAAAAUGACUUCAUUUACACUGGAUAGCUCAGUCCUAAACUGUUCUUCCUAGAGGUCCAGUAAGAAUGAUCUCUUAUUGAUCCAGUGUUACUACAGGAGGAAACCUAAACUAAACUAACUUUAUUUAUAUUGUAUAGCUCUAUCAGUUCUAAACUGUUCUCCCUAGAGGUCCAGUAAGGAUCAUCUCUUAUUGAUCCAGUUUUACUACAGGAGGAAACCCAAACUAAACUAACUUUAUUUAUACUGGAUAGCUCUAUCAGUUCUAAACUGUUCUCCCUAGAGGUCCAGUAAGGAUCAUCUCUUAUUAAUCCAGUGUUACUACAGG